rnacentral:rRNA from 1 species
AGUUCGAUCAUGGCUCAGAUUGAACGCUGGCGGGAUGUUUGCAGGGGCGAUGCAAGUCGAACGGCGCUGGACUUCGGUCUGGUGGCGAGUGACGAACGGGUGAGUAAUGUAUCGGAACGUGCCUAGUAGCGGGGAUAAUUGCUGUUGGUAAAGUAGCUGACACGUACAGCGAUUCUUCGGGGAAAGCGGGGACCUUCUGGCCUCUCGCACUAUUAGGGAAGUGCCUGAUAUCGAUUGAACGGUUGUAGGUAACGGUCACCAGCGACGAUCCGUAGCUGGUUUGAGAGACAUCGCCACACUCGGGACUGGUAUUGUCCACUGCAUGGAGGCAGCAGUGGGGAAUUUUGGACAAUGCUGGGAAACUGAUUCAGCCAUCCCGCGUGUGCGAUGAAGGCCUUCGGGUUGUAAAGCACUUUUGGUGGAUAAACAAGAGCGGAUAAUACCCUGUGCAACUGACGGUACCUGCAGAAUAAGUUAACCGGCUAACUACGUGCCAGCAGCCGCGGUGUAAUACGUAGGUGCAAGCGUUAAUCGGAAUUACUGGGCGUAAGCGUGCGCAGGCGGUUCGAAAGAAAGAUGAAAUCCCAGAGCUUAACUUUGGAACUGCAUUUUUAACUACCGAGCUAGAGUGUGUCAGAGGGAGGUGGAAUUCCGCGUGUAGCAGUGAAAUGCGUAGAUAUGCGGAGGAACACCGAUGGCGAAGGCAGCCUCCGGGGAUAAAACACUGACGUCGAUGCACGAAAGCGUGGGGAGCAACAGGAUUAGAUACCCCAGGUAGUCCACGCCCUAAACGAUGUCAACUAGCUGUUGGGGCCUUUCGGGCCUUGGUAGCGCAGAAGCACGCGUAAAGCUUAUCGCUCGUAGCAUGGUCGCAAGAUUAAAACUCAAAGGAAUUGACGGGGACCCGCACAAGCGGUGGAUGAUGUGGAUUAAUUCGAUGCAACGCGAAAAACCUUACCUACCCUUGACAUGUCUGGAAUCCCGAAGAGAUUUGGGAGUGCUCGCAAGAGAACCGGAACACAGGUGCUGCAUGGCUGUCGUCAGCUCGAAGCCGGGAGAUGUUGCUGAGUCCCGCAACGAGCGCAACCUUGUCAUUAGUUGCUAGAAAGGGCACUCUAUCGAGACUGUUGGUGACAAACCGGAGGGCGUGGGGAUGAUGCCAAGUCCGUACCCGCGGGUAGGGUCACGACGUCAUACAAUGGUCGGGACAGAGGGUCGCCAACCCAGGCGAGGGGGAGCCAAUCCCAGAAACCCGAUCGUAGUCCGGAUCGCAGUCUACAACCUCGACUGCGUGAAGUCGGAAUCGCUAGUAAUCGCGGAUCAGGUAUGUCGUGGUGUAUACGUUCUGGUCUGUACACCGCCCGUCACACCAUGGAGUGGGUUUAACAUAAAAGGGUUACCAAUCGCAGGGCGAUUAAUACGUAGGAUUCAUGACUGGGGGUGAAGGUCGUAACAAGGUAG